GGGGAAUAUUGCGCAAUGGGGGCAACCCUGACGCAGCAAUACCGCGUGAGUGAAGAAGGUUUUCGGAUCGUAAAGCUCUGUUAUUGGGGAAGGAGAAUGACGGUACCCAAUGAGGAAGUCCCGGCUAACUACGUGCCAGCAGCCGCGGUAAUACGUAGGGGACAAGCGUUGUCCGGAAUGACUGGGCGUAAAGGGCGCGUAGGCGGUCUGAUAAGUCAGAUGUGAAAGGUACCGGCUCAACCGGUGACGUGCAUUUGAAACUGUCAGACUUGAGUAUUGGAGAGGCAAGUGGAAUUCCUAGUGUAGCGGUGAAAUGCGUAGAUAUUAGGAGGAACACCAGUGGCGAAGGCGGCUUUCUGGACUGUAACUGACGCUGAGGCAUGAAAGCGUGGGGAGCAAAC
rnacentral:rRNA from 1 species